CGUUAUAAAGCAAUCUAUCACUAGACAGCUAUAUAAUCAUGCUUUGUAAAGUCAUGUUUUUAUUAGGAUGAUUAAAACAACUGGGGAAAGCUGGGAAGGAGAAAACGACCAAUGCUGCUUCUUUCCGGGUUGGGAAGCGACAAGGACAAACUGCAGCUGCCCUUUCGAACCCCCGCAUGUUCGCGAUGUCGUCUUCUGUUGGCAGUCCUUGAAUGCACCUCUGGGAGGAAACAGUCAAGGUCUGCAUGUUUACAAUCUGCGGCGCACAUAGUGCACAAGUUAGCUCAAGCUGCACUCACUUGAGCAUGGCGAGGAAGGACGGCGGCUCCACGUCGGGGAUGCGGAUCUCGUCCUGAUCCUCGGCCAGCUCGCCGUAGAACAUGGCGUGGAACACAGAGCUUCCCACGGCCAGGACGUACUGGACACACAAGAGGACCGGCUUGGUUUGGCGUCACGUACACUAAACCAGGCUUUGUCAACCUUUUUGGGGCCGGCAACUCCUUACAGCGGGGAGACAUUUUUCCAAGGCCCCCCUCAUAAUCCAAUUGCCAAUUAAUCAGAAA